CUUGUUUUUCUGGAGAGCGUCGCUCUGGCUACGGCUGGUGCAUUGUAGCUCAUGCUGAACGUGGCAGUACAUACUGUAAUAUUGGCUGCUUUCACGGGCCCGCUUCUUUCGCAGCAAUAUUGAAAAGGCAUUAACCAUUCAUUGCAGUUUUAUGAAGUAACUCCGUUCUUCUUCUUUCUGGGGAAGUGAUCUAUCACCAACAUGUACGCUACUUUGCUGCUACAGCACACACGCAGGUCGUCAUGAAAGGAACAUGGCUCGGAUUACCUAUUCUGUUUCUUGCUGUAGCCGUUGUCCUGACAGGUCGUGACCCUUCGUGCAACACACGUUGUCCCAAAGGUACAACGUUGUCAUGUCUUCAUUUAAAGAACGGUGGAUGCAAGUGUGGCUGCGCACCUGCCUGCCAUCCAUGCUCACCAUGGAAUACGACGAAAUGCAGGCUUGGCGGACCUUUUCCCACGUGCUAUUACAUACGUCGUGAAUGUGACUGCUACUGUUGUGAUGGAAGAUCUGUCUAAGAAAAACCAAGUACCACCAGCUAGACUACGACCUAACUGCCACUCCAGAUUUCUACAUAACUUUGGUGCCUAACAGCAAAUACUUCACGACGUAUAUC